AAAGCUCCUACUUCAACAUUUCUGAAGAAAGCUGCUGCCGGAGAAGUAACGUUAGGACACAGAACAAGUUUGUGACUGACUUAAUGAACCCAGUUGGUUUGGAUCAUGCUCAGAGAUGUAAGGGUUACAAAAAGUUAACCAGAACUCUUAUGAACUCCAUCUUGUCUUUCAAAGAGAUGGCAACAUGAACGGAAAAAAAGGGGUUGUUGGUGAAAAAAGAGCCUUGACCUACAAAAGGUGCAGCUAAUAAUUGACUAUGUCAAAAAGAGGCACCCAGGCAUCGGAGGCACUGAGAUCAAGGUCUGCAUGACACAAAAGUUAAGAGAUCUGAGGAGACGAGCAGAAAGAUGACUGUGGUGAAGAUGGAUGAAGAUGGAUGAGGCUUUCAAGUGCAGGAUCUACAAUUGUUUUCGUUUCACCUUUUCAUUUUGCCUGUUUUGAAUGUGAUGCACAGCCUAGGCCUAUAUAAUUGUGUUUUUUUGUCUGUUUUUAAUCAACAAUUAAACAAAUGA